GGGACGGCCAAGGCAGAGACAUGGAGGACCACGGGGAAGGACACACACGAGGUGCCCAGCAUGCCUGACCAGCGCCGGAAAUAGAACCGGGCAGCUGGGCUCAGCCACGUCUUCUAAGGUCUCAUUUCCCAGGAUUCUGCUGUUAACCUUCCACCUGGACCCUGUGGCAAAGGACGUGAUGCCCCAUCCCCAAA
rnacentral:lncRNA from 1 species